rnacentral:rRNA from 1 species
GACGAACGCUGGCGGCGUGCUUAACACAUGCAAGUCGAACGGAAAGGCUCCAGCUUGCUGGCGUACUCGAGUGGCGAACGGGUGAGUAACACGUGGGUAAUCUGCCCUGCACUCUGGGAUAAGCCUGGGAAACUGGGUCUAAUACUGGAUAUGACCUUUCUCCUUAUAGGGUUUGGUGGAAAGUUUUUCGGUGUAGGAUGAGCCCGCGGCCUAUCAGCUUGUUGGUGGGGUGAUGGCCUACCAAGGCGACGACGGGUAGCCGGCCUGAGAGGGUGAUCGGCCACAUUGGGACUGAGAUACGGCCCAGACUCCUACGGGAGGCAGCAGUGGGGAAUAUUGCACAAUGGGCGGAAGCCUGAUGCAGCGACGCCGCGUGAGGGAUGACGGCCUUCGGGUUGUAAACCUCUUUCAGCAGGGACGAAGCGUAAGUGACGGUACCUGCAGAAGAAGCACCGGCUAACUAUGUG